AAGUCGUAACAAGGUCUCCGUAGGUGAACCUGCGGAGGGAUCAUUACAAGUGACCCCGGCUACGGCCGGGAUGUUCAUAACCCUUUGUUGUCCGACUCUGUUGCCUCCGGGGCGACCCUGCCUUCGGGCGGGGGCUCCGGGUGGACACUUCAAACUCUUGCGUAACUUUGCAGUCUGAGUAAACUUAAUUAAUAAAUUAAAACUUUUAACAACGGAUCUCUUGGUUCUGGCAUCGAUGAAGAACGCAGCGAAAUGCGAUAAGUAAUGUGAAUUGCAGAAUUCAGUGAAUCAUCGAAUCUUUGAACGCACAUUGCGCCCCCUGGUAUUCCGGGGGGCAUGCCUGUUCGAGCGUCAUUUCACCACUCAAGCCUCGCUUGGUAUUGGGCAACGCGGUCCGCCGCGUGCCUCAAAUCGUCCGGCUGGGUCUUCUGUCCCCUAAGCGUUGUGGAAACUAUUCGCUAAAGGGUGUUCGGGAGGCUACGCCGUAAAACAACCCCAUUUCUAAGGUUGACCUCGGAUCAGGUAGGGAUACCCGCUGAACUUAA
rnacentral:rRNA from 1 species